UCAAAACUCCAAAUACCUCAUUUUACAUGUGUCAUUUCUCUGCAAAAUAUAUGAAGCUGUGAACAUUAUUAAUUUAAGGAAUUUUCAAUUAUGCUUAUUGGAAUAUGGUUAAAUGGUAUGUUACAUUGAUUUAAUUAUCUUUUCGGACAGAAAAAUUAUUAAUCUUUUUCAUGAAUAUAUGGAUUUUUUUUUAUUUGUGCAUACUUUGAUACAAAUUUUUCAUUUCAUUUGAAUUCUUUUUUAAUAUGGUUAUAUUAGCUUUGUUCGAAUCAUCUGGUUUUCAGUACUAGUAUAUACUGCAUGUUUAGAUUUACCUAUCAUAAUAGUAUAGUAGUAUAUGUUAUCAAUUCCCACAAUUUCGAUUAUAUACAAAUGGUUUUGAGCUUUAGAAUAUAUACAGACUUUCAACAUUGUAAAUAUUUUUAGAAUUGUGCAUACAUGUAUAUUUUUUAGAUAUCCAUUUCUCAAAUAUGCCCAUUACACUAAGGCAUUGCAUAAGAACAAUUUCACAGUUUGUGAAUGCCAUCACUGCCUUCUGUGUAAUAGGAGCCUUGGCAGCCUAGUGAUCCCAUGCUGCAUAUCAGGCGAGCAACAAUAUCUCUUCAAGAUCAAGAGUUUUUUGAGGGACUGGCACUUGAUCAGCAGAGGGAUCAUGAGGAACAGGCAGCCCGAGAAAGGAGAAGAGCGACAAGGCAAGGAAGGAGACACAAUAGAGAGCAACGCCAAAUUGAAAUGCAAGAGGUCAGGCAACAGAAGUUGGAAAGAGUUGGGGAGGAGCCAACUGACAAUUGCUUCACUGUGGUGUUUGUCCUCCAGGACAACACCACAAAGUCCAGAAAAUUCAGACCAGAGGAUAAGAAGCAGUCCCUGUUUGACUUCAUUGAAGGGUCAACUUGUGUAAACAAGGCCAGACUUCUUUUUGGAGGGAAUGUGGUAGAGGACAGCACUGCAUGCCUGAAGGAUUGUGGGAUUGGCAGCAACUGUCGAAUCCAUGUGGAAGACCUACAAGACAAUCGGGAGAGCUUAACUGAGAGUGAGGACGAUGCAGAUGACACAGAAUCUGUACCUGUAAGACAGAUUACAACAGUAAAUGAUAUAAAGGAGUUUGAUGACAGGGUGAAAAGAGCACGGGACUUUUUGUGUAGUGAGAAGAUUGUGAGGGUCCGACGGGACAACAUUGUAGAGAACGUCCUAGAUCGAUAUCGCACUAACCCAAAUCUGGUGCAUCAUCGCAUCAAAGUUGUGUUUGAGCGGGAAGAAGUCGCGGAGGACUUCAGCGGUGUUACACGAGAGAUGUUUAGUGCUUUUUUUUCGAAUUUGCUUUCAGACCUAUUUGACGGUGAUUUAGAAAAAAUCCCUAGGAUGGAUGCAGCUAUCUGUAGCAACGACACUAUGGUCUUGGUAGGAAAAAUCAUAAGUCAUGCGUAUGUGCUGACUGGGAUUUUCCCUAUCCAGAUCUGCAAGUCUGCCAUCAAAUUUCUCCUGUGUGGAAAUGUGGCUGGUGACGAAACUACUCUCUCUUUCCUCCGUGUUUUGUCUGAGGACGAGAGAGCAAUUUUGAAAUCAGCCAUGGCAGACAGGGAGUACAUGAUGUCGGUUUCUGGACAUUUGAGUGUAUUGAGGGCAUUAGGCCCUCAUUGCUCCUCUCAAGCACCGUCACCCAACAAUCUGCAGAGUGUGUUGACUUCCGUAGCUGAAACCGCAGUCCUCUUGAAACCAUUUUGGAUGUGGUUCCAGCUACACACGGGAAUGAGGUGCUAUCCCUCACUUUGGAUGGGUUUGUCUGGCCAGGUAGUCGAGCAGAUGUUUGACCGACUGAGACCUACUCCAGCCAAAGUGUUGGAGUGCAUCUCAUCUGCACACUCUGAUGAUACAGAUUUACAGUUUGCUGAGUACAGAGUGUAUGGCUACCUGGAGCAGUUUAUCUCCUCCUUGAAUGCAGAGAAGCUUGAACGCCUGUUGCAGUUUUGGACUGCCGCAGACAUUCUGUUGCAGGUAGACUUGCUCGUUGCCUACAACUCCCUGCAAGGUACGUCAAUACGGCCUAUUGCAAACACCUGUUCUCAGACCCUUCAGUUGAGUAGGUUUUAUGUGUCUUAUCAAGAUUUCAAGCAUAAUAUGGAUUGUUAUAUCUUCACAAACGAGACACACAUUUUUGAUAGUGUUUAGUCAAGUUGUCUACUUGCAUACCACCAUCAGGGCUUGCAAAUAGGCUCGCCCGACAUCCCGUAACAACCAUAAAUGUAGUCGGGCAACUGAAGUUGCAGUCACGUCUGCCCGACCGGGCUACUAGUUUUUCAACCCCAAGUUUAAUAAAAGUUGUUUGAAAUGAGGGCUUGCGGAAGUUCCCCUUUACUCUUUACUUCACAAAGACUGCAUUUAAUUACUUUUUGGAGUAAAAGUUGUGUUCUGUUGGAACAACCUGCUCAAAUAUAUGUGCCAAAUAUGCCACAUGUAAGUGCCAAAUAUGCCACAUCUUGCUUUUGAAAUUUCAAAAUGAAGGGUAUAGUGCUUUGUUGUUGUUUCUUGACUGUGGUAAAUAUAGGUGAGGAUGUUGCAUUAGGGAUAUGUUGGAAUAAAUCAGUCCUACUCUUUGAAGCAAAACCAUUUAUUUAUAUUUACAAAUGUAGUGAGUGUAAAUAAAGGUAGACACAUCAUAUAUUAUUGGAAAGGUAACUGCAUGAAUAAUCUAUUGGUGCAUACAUAAAAUUUAAAUUUAAAACACGUGCCACAAAUUUUUGAAGCACAUUGUUGUAAAUAGUCUCAUAUCAAAGAGAGAUAGGGCAAGGAUUUUGUUUAUACUGUCGUAGUUUUUAAACUACAGGAUAACAGAUUGCUGACCAACUUGAUUUAAUAAAAAAUACAUGUAAUUCUCAAACAAAAGCAG
rnacentral:misc_RNA from 1 species